CAAAUACCAUCGUGAUUCCAAAGACCACCGCAAUCAUCGUUCAGAUAGGAAUCACAAGCGUGACCACAAAUCCAGGGACAAGGAUAGGGAUAGGACUUAUGACAGAGAUGGAGGAAAGGACAGGGAUAGGACUUAUGAUAGAGAAGGAAGCCGGGAUAGGGAAAGGGCUUAUGACAGAGAAGGAAGCCGGGAUAGGGAUAGGGCUUAUGACAGAGAAGGAAGCCGGGAUAGGGAUAGGGCUUAUGACAGAGAAGGAAGCAAGGAUAGGGAUAAGGCUUAUGAAAGAGAGAGUGGCAAAGAUAGGUCAAAGGUGAAGCAUGAUGAUGGUAGGGAAGAUUUGGUGGAGUCACGGUACU
rnacentral:lncRNA from 1 species